rnacentral:rRNA from 2 species
CGCAUGGUCCGAGCUUGAAGAUGGCUUCGGCUAUCACUUUUGGAUGGCCCGCGGCGUAUUAGCUAGAUGGUGGGGUAACGGCUCACCAUGGCAAUGAUACGUAGCCGACUGAGAGGGUAAUCGGCCACAUUGGGACUGAGACACGGCCCAAACUCCUACGGGAGGCAGCAGUAGGGAAUCUCACAAUGGACGAAAGUCUGAUGGAGCAACGCCGCGUGAGUGAAGAAGGGUUCGGCUCGUAAAACUCUGUUGUUAAAGAGAACAUAUCUGAGAGUAACUGUUCAGGUAUUGACGGUUUAACCAGAAAGCCACGGCUAACUACGUGCCAGCAGCCGCGGUAAUACGUAGGUGGCAAGCGUUGUCCGGAUUUAUUGGGCUAAAGCGAGCGCAGGCGGUUUUAAGUCUGAUGUGAAAGCCUUCGGCUCAACCGAAGAAGUGCAUCGGAAACUGGGAAACUUGAGUGCAGAAGAGGACAGUGGAACUCCAUGUGUAGCGGUGAAAUGCGUAGAUAUAUGGAAGAACACAGUGGCGAAGGCGGCUGUCUGGUCUGUAACUGACGCUGAGGCUCGAAAGUAUGGGUAGCAAACAGGAUUAGAUACCUGGUAGUCCAUACCGUAAACGAUGAAUGCUAAGUGUUGGAGGGUUUCGCCCUUCAGUGCUGCAGCUAACGCAUUAAGCAUUCCGCCUGGGGAGUACGGCCGCAAGCUGAAACUCAAAGGAAUUGACGGGGGCCCGCACAAGCGGUGGAGCAUGUGGUUUAAUUCGAAGCUACGCGAAGAACCUUACCAGGUCUUGACAUACUAGCAAAUCUAAGAGAUUAGACGUUCCCUUCGGGGACAUGGAUACAGGUGGUGCAUGGUUGUCGUCAGCUCGUGUCGUGAGAUGUUGGUUAAGUCCCGCAACGAGCGCAACCUUAUUAUCAGUUGCCAGCAUUAAGUUGGGCACUCUGGUGAGACUGCCGGUGACAAACCGGAGGAAGGUGGGGAUGACGUCAAAUCAUCAUGCCCUUAUGACCUGGGCUACACACGUGUACAAUGGAUGGUACAACGAGUUGCGAACUCGCGAGAGUAAGCUAAUCUCUUA